rnacentral:rRNA from 1 species
UACGUAGGGUGCGAGCGUUAAUCGGAAUUACUGGGCGUAAAGCGCGCGUAGGCGGCUUUGCAAGUCGGGUGUGAAAUCCCCAGGCUUAACCUGGGAACUGCAUUCGAGACUGCAUUGCUAGAGUAUGGGAGAGGGAAGUGGAAUUUCCGGUGUAGCGGUGAAAUGCGUAGAUAUUGGGUGGAACACCAGUGGCGAAGGCGACUACCUGGCCUGUUCUUGACGCUGAGGCGCGAAAGCUAGGGGAGCAAACGGG